UACGAAGGGUGCAAGCGUUACUCGGAAUUACUGGGCGUAAAGCGUGCGUAGGUGGUUUGUUAAGUCUGUCGUGAAAGCCCCGGGCUCAACCUGGGAAUGGCGAUGGAUACUGGCGAGCUAGAGUACGGUAGAGGAGAGUGGAAUUCCCGGUGUAGCAGUGAAAUGCGUAGAGAUCGGGAGGAACAUCAGUUGCGAAGGCGGCUCUCUGGACCAGUACUGACGCUGAGGCACGAAAGCGUGGGGAGCAAACAGG
rnacentral:rRNA from 1 species